UACGUAGGUGGCGAGCGUUGUCCGGAAUUACUGGGUGUAAAGGGUGCGUAGGCGGGGAUGCAAGUCAGAUGUGAAAUCUAUCGGCUUAACUGGUAAACUGCAUUUGAAACUGCAUUUCUUGAGUGGUGGAGAGGUAAGCGGAAUUCCUAGUGUAGCGGUGAAAUGCGUAGAUAUUAGGAGGAACACCAGUGGCGAAGGCGGCUUACUGGACACUAACUGACGCUGAGGCACGAAAGCAUGGGGAGCAAACAGGAUUAGAUACC
rnacentral:rRNA from 1 species